rnacentral:rRNA from 1 species
UACGUAGGGUGCAAGCGUUGUCCGGAAUUAUUGGGCGUAAAGGGCUCGUAGGCGGCCAACUAAGUCGGACGUGAAAUCCCUCGGCUUAACCGGGGAACUGCGUCCGAUACUGGAUGGCUUGAGUUUGGGAGAGGGAUGCGGAAUUCCAGGUGUAGCGGUGAAAUGCGUAGAUAUCUGGAGGAACACCGGUGGCGAAGGCGGCAUCCUGGACCAAUUACUGACGCUGAGUGAGCGAAAGCCAGGGGAGCAAACGGG